AUUCCAUGAUGAGGGCACUUUCGUAAUAAUUCUUUGUACCUUUCCCAUGUCUCAUACAAGGAUUCAUCAUCCAUUUGUUGGAAAGUAGUGAUUUCGUUCCACAACUU
rfam:Gossypium hirsutum cultivar TM-1 chromosome 14, whole genome shotgun sequence